CGCAGUAAUGCGUGGCAUACGGCUCAGUAACACGUAGUCAACAUGCCCAGGGGACGUGGAUAACCUCGGGAAACUGAGGAUAAACCGCGAUAGGCCAAGGUUUCUGGAAUGGACAAUGGCUGAAACCUAUAUGGCCCCUGGAUUGGACUGCGGCCGAUCAGGCUGUUGGUGAGGUAAUGGCCCACCAAACCUGUAACCGGUACGGGCUCUGAGAGGAGGAGCCCGGAGAUGGGCACUGAGACAAGGGCCCAGGCCCUAUGGGGCGCAGCAGGCGCGAAACCUCUGCAAUAGGCGAAAGCUUGACAGGGUUACUCUGAGUGAUGUCCGCUAAGGGCAUCUUUUGGCACUUCUAAAAAUAGUGUAGAAUAAGGGGUGGGCAAGUCUGGUGUCAGCCGCCGCGGUAAUACCAGCACCCCGAGUGGCCGGGACGAUUAUUGGGCCUAAAGCAUCCGUAGCCGGUUCUGCAAGUCUUCCGUUAAAUCCACCUGCUCAACAGAUGGGCUGCGGGGGAUACUACAGGGCUAGGAGGCGGGAGAGGCAAGCGGUACUCAGUGGGUAGGGGUAAAAUCCUCUGAUCCACUGAAGACCACCAGUGGCGAAGGCGGCUUGCCAGAACGCGCUCGACGGUGAGGGAUGAAAGCUGGGGGAGCAAACCGGAUUAGAUACCCGGGUAGUCCCAGCUGUAAACGAUGCAGACUCGGUGAUGGGUUGGCUUCGAGCCAACCCAGUGCCGCAGGGAAGCCGUUAAGUCUGCCGCCUGGGGAGUACGGUCGCAAGACUG
rnacentral:rRNA from 1 species